UACGUAGGGUGCAAGCGUUAUCCGGAUUUACUGGGCGUAAAGCGUCCGUCGGCGUCUCAGCAAGUCUUUUGUUCAAGCCUGGGGCUCAACUCCAGAAAAGCAAGGGAAACUACUGAGAUUGAGUUUGUUUGGGGGAACUAGAAUUCUCGGUGGAGGGGUGAAAUCCGUAGAUAUCGAGAGGAAUACCAGUCGCGAAGGCGGGUUCCUAAAACAAUACUGACGCUCAGGGACGAAAGUCUGGGUAGCAAAAGGG
rnacentral:rRNA from 1 species